rnacentral:rRNA from 1 species
UACGGAGGAUCCAAGCGUUAUCCGGAAUCAUUGGGUUUAAAGGGUCUGUAGGCGGUUUGGUAAGUCAGUGGUGAAAGCCCGUCGCUCAACGGCGGAACGGCCAUUGAUACUGCCGGACUUGAAUUACUGGGAAGUAACUAGAAUAUGUAGUGUAGCGGUGGAAUGCGUAGAGAUCCGGAAGAACACCGGUGGCGAAGGCGGCCUGCUGGGCAGUAGCUGACGCUGAGGCGCGACAGCGUGGGGAGCAAACAGG